rnacentral:Y_RNA from 2 species
GGCUGGUCCAACUGCUGCACUGGUAUUUACAACUAACUGAUCACAACCAGUUACAGAUUUCUUUGUUCCUUCUCCACUCCCACUGCUUCACUUGACUUAAA